UACGUAGGGUGCGAGCGUUGUCCGGAAUUAUUGGGCGUAAAGGGCUCGUAGGCGGUUUGUCGCGUCGGGAGUGAAAACACCGGGCUUAACUCGGUGCUUGCUUUCGAUACGGGCAGACUAGAGGUAUGCAGGGGAGAACGGAAUUCCUGGUGUAGCGGUGAAAUGCGCAGAUAUCAGGAGGAACACCGGUGGCGAAGGCGGUUCUCUGGGCCUGUACUGACGCUGAGGAGCGAAAGCGUGGGGAGCGAACAGG
rnacentral:rRNA from 1 species